GCGCCCGUAGCUCAAUGGAUAGAGUCACGGACUUCGAAUCCGAAGGUUGGGCGUUCGAAUCGCCCCGGGCGCGCCA
rnacentral:tRNA from 1 species